UGACAUCUUGUAUCACUCGUUGAUGAAGUUUUCUCGAUUGUUCUGGUCCAUCUCUAUUUUUGUGAUGGACCAAUACAACCGCGAACCCGUCAUCAUCGCCUUCCAACUGGACUUGAU
rnacentral:precursor_RNA from 16 species